rnacentral:rRNA from 1 species
UUGUACAACUUUCAACAACGGAUCUCUAGGCUCUCGCAUCGAUGAAGAACGCAGCGAAAUGCGAUAAGUAAUGUGAAUUGCAGAAUUCAGUGAAUCAUCGAAUCUUUGAACGCACCUUGCGCCCCUUGGUAUUCCGAGGGGCAUGCCUGUUUGA